CCUACGGGCGGCAGCAGUGAGGAAUAUUGGUCAAUGGUCGGGAGACUGAACCAGCCAAGCCGCGUGAGGGAUGAAGGUACAGAGUAUCGUAAACCUCUUUUGUCAGGGAACAAAGGCGGGGACGUGUCCCCGGAUGAGUGUACCUGAAGAAAAAGCAUCGGGUAACUCGGUGCCAGCAGCCGCGGUAAUACGGAGGAUGAGAGCGUUAUCCGGAUUUAUUGGGUUUAAAGGGUGUGCAGGCGGUCUGUAAAGUUAGCGGGAAAAGCCCGGGGCUCAACCCCGGCCCGCCGUUGAAACUGGCAGUCUCGAGUUGGAGAGAGGUAUGCGGAAUGCGCGGUGUAGCGGUGAAAUGCAUAGAUAUCGCGCAGAACUCCGAUGGCGAAGGCAGCAUGCCGGCUCCACACUGACGCUGAGGCACGAAAGCGUGGGUAUCGAACAGGAUUAGAUACCCCGGUAGUC
rnacentral:rRNA from 1 species